rnacentral:misc_RNA from 1 species
GCGGCUGGAUCCCCUCCUUUCUAAGGAGCUCCGACCUGGAAACAGGUCGGCAGUCCUAGGUCAAACCCACGAACCAAGUCGAGCACGCAGGACUUCGAGGCGUGCCCGAGACCUUUCGUAUGCUGUCCGGUUUUCAGCGACCGAGGCGCGAUUUGACAAGAUGGCGACGAAACGGACCCACGUUGGGCCUAUAGCUCAGCUGGUUAGAGCGCACGCCUGAUAAGCGUGAGGUCGCUAGUUCAAGUCUAGCUAGGCCCACUCGAAUCCAACCGUGGAGUGCGGUUGGACUGUUCGAAGGGGCUGUAGCUCAGCUGGGAGAGCGCGGGCUUUGCAAGCCUGAGGUCGUCGGUUCGAUCCCGAUCAGCUCCACUCGGCGAGGCAGCGCCUCGAGCCCGCAUCAAACGAUUUCGUCGUUCUUUGAAAAGUGAAGACGAGUAAGAUCUCAAGACUGUGCGUCUGAGGUUGACGCACCCUGGCGGGAGCCAGCGUGCGUGUUGCUAGGGGCUCGGAGGUCGAGCCCUAGCCUCGACCUAUUUUGUGUGGUCAAGCUACUAAGGGCUGACGGCGGAUGCCUAGGCGCGUAGAGGCGAUGAAGGACGUGGCUAGCUGCGAAAAGCUUCGGCGAGGUGCUAAGCGACCUUUGACCCGAAGAUGU